rnacentral:rRNA from 1 species
CCUACGGGGCGCAGCAGUGGGGAAUAUUGGACAAUGGGCGAAAGCCUGAUCCAGCCAUGCCGCGUGUGUGAAGAAGGCCUUCGGGUUGUAAAGCACUUUCAGUGGGGAAGAAAGCCUUGGGGCUAAUACCCUCGAGGAAGGACAUCACCCACAGAAGAAGUACCGGCUAACUCCGUGCCAGCAGCCGCGGUAAUACGGAGGGUGCGAGCGUUAAUCGGAAUUACUGGGCGUAAAGCGCGCGUAGGCGGUCUGAUAAGCCGGUUGUGAAAGCCCCGGGCUCAACCUGGGAACGGCAUCCGGAACUGUCAGGCUAGAGUGCAGGAGAGGAAGGUAGAAUUCCCGGUGUAGCGGUGAAAUGCGUAGAGAUCGGGAGGAAUACCAGUGGCGAAGGCGGCCUUCUGGACUGACACUGACGCUGAGGUGCGAAAGCGUGGGUAGCAAACAGGAUUAGAUACCCCAGUAGUC